GCUCAAAAAGAUUGACGACAUCAACGAAUCAGAAUUUAGACAUUCCAAGCCCGGACGUGAUUUAAUUGAAGGAUUAAUUGACAUUUUUUGGUGUGGCUUUAAAACCAAAAAAAAAGGUUGUAAUGUUGUGUUUUUCCAAGCCACCCCCGUAUUAAUAUGUGGUGCUACUUUUCAUGAAGCUAGCUAGCAGCGAGUUCAUACACACACACACACACACACACACACACAAAAAACAAACAAAAAAAAAACACAAAAAAACAAAAACCUGUUUGUCUUCUUUAGUCUGAAGAGUUGCUUCAGUUUGUGGAACUCCUGGCCAAACCAGUCCAGUCAGUUCGCGUACGCCCGGAGUUGCUCCCUCAUUAGCCGCGGAGCUAACCCCGCCUCGGUGCCCUCGACCCUCGUCGUCGCCAUCAACAUGCGGGGCCAGGCGCCCUCGCCCCGGUGAAGCUCGCACGUCACCGCCGGCACGUCGGACCAUGUCGGAGUGAAACCUUUGCCGGAGGAACAGCGAGAGAGGGCGGCCGCGGAGGAGAGACGACUGGCAGCCACCAGCGACAACAAUGGGCGAGCAGCCCAUCUUCAGCACGCGGGCGCACAUCUUCCAGAUCGACCCGGCCACAAAGAAGAACUGGGUGGCCACCAGCAAGCACGCCGUCACCGUUUCCUACUUCUUUGACAGCACCAGGAACGUGUACCGGAUCAUCAGCCUGGACGGAACCAAGGCCGUCAUCAACAGCACCAUCACCCCCAACAUGACCUUCACCAAGACGUCGCAGAAGUUCGGCCAGUGGGCCGACAGCCGCGCCAACACCGUCUACGGCCUGGGCUUCUCGUCCGAGGGCCACCUCAGCAAGUUUGCAGACAAGUUUGCGGAGUUCAAGGAGGCGGCGCGGCUGGCCAAGGAGAAGAACCAGGAGAAGACGGAGUUCACCAGCACGCCCUCCCAGGAGUCCACCGGCGGUCUUGCCCCGCCGUCGCCUUUGACCUCUGAGAGCGUGAACGGCAACGAGGACGAGAGAGCGGCGCCCGACACGCCGCAGCCCUUUGAAGCUCGGGGAGGAGCGGAGCCUUCCCACAAUGCACUUGUCUUCUCCCACAGCUCCCCGAGCGUCAACAAGCACUGGGAGGCGGAGCUAGCGGCACUAAAAGGCAACAACGCUAAGCUGACGGCGGCGCUGCUGGAGUCCACAGCUAACGUGAAGCAGUGGAAGCAGCAGCUGGGCGCCUACCAAGAGGAGGCGGAGCGGCUGCAUAGACGGGUGACAGAGCUGGAGUGCGUCAGCGGGCAGACCACGGCGGCGAGGUCGGACAAGACGGCGCUGAACCGCACCAUCGAGGAGCUGGAGGAGGCGCUGAGGAGCAAGGAGGACGAGUUGGAGCGUCUGAAGAUGGACGUGCAGAGUGCCAACCAGUUUCACUCCCAAAGAGACUCGCUCACACACAAGCUGCAGGCGGUGGAGCAGAGGAACCAGGCGCUGGAGGCCCAGCUGGGCGAACUGGAGCAGCGCGUGGAGGCCGACCGGCGCGAGAAGGAAAGCUUCCGGCAGAGUUUGCGCUCGCUGCUGCAGUUGCUGGACGGCAAGAUCCUGGAGCUCAGCCAGCUGAGGGAGGCGCUGGCCAAACUGCUGGAGUGCAGCUAAGGCGGCCCCACAUCUUUGUUUACACCUUCCGUUCGCCACGUUUACAAGAGCCAAGUCCCGGCGGCUUGGAUCCCACUUGCCUUCCUGCGACGUUCGAUGAUUUUGUCUUGUUUUUUUUUUCCUAUGACAUCAGCAGCCAAAAGCCAGGACUUGCGCCAAGGUACGCUAUUCUCUGGCCGCGCACAGGAGGGCGCCAGUGAGCGACAUUUUCAGGCAGAUCUCCUUGGCCCGCAUCAGCUGCAGAGUCUCUUUGGAGACGGCGUACUGCAGCCUCUCCAUGCGCUCCACCGCCGCCGCCCAUGCAGACUUGCCCAACUUGCGCUGGUCGGCGCGCAUCCGCUCGCACAACGCUGCACACACACACUGUCAGAGGCGGAAGGCGAAGAAAAGGCUCAGCAGAAAAGUACCUUUCUGCGCCCGGUUGGUGCUUUCGAAGAACUUGACGGUCAGGUCCUGGAUGGCGAGGACGGCCGCCUGCGCCUUCUUCUGCCACUCCUCGUCCUCCUUCCUCAGGGCCUCCACGCGGCGGGGGCCCAGGCGCUCCGUCUCCAGCGAGAUCUGGAGGGCGGAGGGCAGGUGUCGUGAGGUGUAAUACCCGCAGCGCGCAGCAGAGGGCAGUACAAACCAACUUGAAAGGUCAACCCUCGGAGCAGAGGAAAGCACAGAGCAUCCUGAAAGACCCAUUCCACCCCGGGCACAGCCACCUGGAACUGCUACCCUCAGGCAGACGCUACAGGGUGCUAAAAGCGAGCACCGAUAGACUAAAAAAUAGCUUUUACCCAAGAGCCAUAGUAGCACUAAACAGGCACUGAGUGUCCAUAUGUCCAUCAUGUCCUCAUGUGUAAUGUUUAAAUGUUUUUCUAUUUUUUUGGACUACAAUGUGAAAUAAUGUUUUAUGUAUGUAUACAUAGAUACAUCUGUCAUCUCUAUCUUUUUUUAUUUUUUAUUUAUUUUUUAUUUAUUUAUUUAUUUAUUUAUUUUUUUAAUUUAUACUACCAUAUUGUAUAUGCACCUUAGGAGGAGCUGCUCCAAUUUCGUUGUUCUUUGAACCUGUUCAUUGCAAUAAUGACAAUAAAACUCUAUUCUAUUCUA